GAUGAACGCUGGCGGCGUGCUUAACACAUGCAAGUCGAACGGUGAAAGAGAGCUUGCUCUCUGGAUCAGUGGCGAACGGGUGAGUAACACGUGAGCAAUCUGCCCCUGACUCUGGGAUAAGCGCUGGAAACGGCGUCUAAUACCGGAUACGAGCUGCGAAGGCAUCUUCAGCAGCUGGAAAGAACUUCGGUCAGGGAUGAGCUCGCGGCCUAUCAGCUAGUUGGUGAGGUAACGGCUCACCAAGGCGUCGACGGGUAGCCGGCCUGAGAGGGUGACCGGCCACACUGGGACUGAGACACGGCCCAGACUCCUACGGGAGGCAGCAGGGGGGAAGAUUGCACCAUGGGCGAAAGCCUGAUGCAGCAACGCCGCGUGAGGGACGACGGCCUUCGGGUUGUAAACCUCUUUUAGCAGGGAAGAAGCGAAAGUGACGGUACCUGCAGAAAAAGCACCGGCUAACUACGUG
rnacentral:rRNA from 1 species